CCUACGGGAGGCAGCAGUGGGGAAGAUUGCACAAUGGGGGAAACCCUGAUGCAGCAACGCCGCGUGAAGGAAGACGGUUUUCGGAUUGUAAACUUCUGUUCUUAGAGAAGAAGAAUGACGGGAGCGAAGGAGCAAGCCACGGCUAACUACGUGCCAGCAGCCGCGGUAAUACGUAGGUGGCAAGCGGUGGCCGGAAUUACUGGGUGUACAGGGAGCGCAGGCGGGAAGCAAAGUCAGCUGUGAAAACUACGGGCUUAACUUGUAGACUGCAGUUGAAACGGGUUUUCUUGAGUGCAGUAGAGGUUGGCGGAAUUCCGAGUGUAGCGGUGCAAUGCGUCGAUAUUCGGAGGAACCCCGGUGGCGAAUGCGGCCCACUGGGCUUUAACUGACGCUGAGUCUCGAACGUGUGGGGAGCAAACAGGAUUAGAUACCCCUGUAGUC
rnacentral:rRNA from 1 species